rnacentral:rRNA from 1 species
UACGGAGGGUGCAAACGUUGCUCGGAAUCAUUGGGCGUAAAGCGCACGUAGGCGGACUGUUAAGUCGGAUGUGAAAGCCUUCGGCUUAACCGAGGAAGUGCAUUCGAAACUGGCAGUCUUGAGUACAGAAGAGGGUCGCGGAAUUCCCGGUGUAGAGGUGAAAUUCGUAGAUAUCGGGAGGAACACCAGUGGCGAAGGCGGCGACCUGGGCUGAU